rnacentral:rRNA from 1 species
GACGAACGCUGGCGGCGUGCUUAACACAUGCAAGUCGAACGGAAAGGCCCUGCUUUUGUGGGGUGCUCGAGUGGCGAAAGGGUGAGUAACACGUGAGUAACCUGCCCUUGACUUUGGGAUAACUUCAGGAAACUGGGGCUAAUACCGGAUAGGAUCUCCUGCUGCAUGGUGGGGGUUGGAAAGUUUCGGCGGUUGGGGAUGGACUCGCGGCUUAUCGGCUUGUUGGUGGGGUAGUGGCUUACCAAGGCUUUGACGGGUAGCCGGCCUGAGAGGGUGACCGGCCACAUUGGGACUGAGAUACGGCCCAGACUCCUACGGGAGGCAGCAGUGGGGAAUAUUGCACAAUGGGCGGAAGCCUGAUGCAGCAACGCCGCGUGCGGAAUGACGGCCUUCGGGUUGUAAACCGAUUUCGCCUGUGACGAAGCGUGAGUGACGGUAAUGGGUAAAGAAGCACCGGCUAACUACGUG